UACGUAGGGUGCAAGCGUUGUCCGGAAUUAUUGGGCGUAAAGAGCUCGUAGGCGGUCUGUCGCGUCGGCUGUGAAAUCUCGGGGCUCAACCCCGAGCCUGCAGUCGAUACGGGCAGACUAGAGUGCGGUAGGGGAGACUGGAAUUCCUGGUGUAGCGGUGAAAUGCGCAGAUAUCAGGAGGAACACCGGUGGCGAAGGCGGGUCUCUGGGCCGUAACUGACGCUGAGGAGCGAAAGCGUGGGGAGCAAACAGG
rnacentral:rRNA from 1 species